rnacentral:rRNA from 11 species
CCGACCUGAACUCAGACGAGACU